rnacentral:rRNA from 1 species
UACGAAGGUGGCAAGCGUUGUUCGGAUUUACUGGGCGUACAGGGCGCGUAGGCGGUUGGAUAAGCCCUCCGUGAAAUCUCCAGGCUUAACCUGGAAAGUGCAGAGGGGACUGUUCAGCUAGAGGAUGGGAGAGGAGCGCGGAAUUCCCGGUGUAGCGGUGAAAUGCGUAGAGAUCGGGAGGAACACCAGUAGCGAAGGCGGCACUCUGGGCCGGAACUGACGCUGAGGAGCGAAAGCAUGGGUAGCAAACAGG